GGGCUCGUCUUUGUCCGAGGCCUAUUUUUGGCACACGGAGGACCCUCGUAAAGUCUCGCGGCAUUCCGAGUCCGGCGGACGAAGUUGGCCAGCCCCACCCCCCAAGGCUAUAGCCCACCCGUUUUUGUGGCCUUUUUCCGCUGGAACUUGGCGCCCCGGCCUUCGGGCGGUUAUUUUUGGGCGCGGCUUUGCCCGCGGCCUAUUUUUGGAACAUGGAGGCCCCUCGCAAAUUCUCGUGGCAUUCCGAGUCCGGCGGAUUAAGUUGGCCAGCCCCACCCCCCAAAGCUAUAGCCCACCCGUUUUUGUGGCUUUUUUCCGCUGGACGAACUUGGCGCCCCGGCCUUCGGGUGGUUAUUUUUGGGCGCGGCUCCGCCCGCGGCCUAUUUUUGGCACACGGAGGCCCCUCGAAAAGUCUCGCGGCAUUCCGAGUCCGGCGGACGAAGUGGGCCAUCCCCACCCCCCAAGGCUAUAGCCCACCCGUUUUUGUGGCCUUUUUCCGCUGGACGAACUUGGCGACCCGGCCUUCGGGCUGUUAUCUUUGGGCGUGGCUUUGCCCUCGGCGUAUUUUUGGAACACGGUGGCCCCUCGCAAUGUUUCGCGGCAUUCCGAGUCCGGUGGACGAAGUGGGCCAGCCCCAACCCCCAAGGCUAUAGCCCACCCGUUUUUGUCGCCUUUUUCCGCUGGACAAACUUGGCGCCCCGGGCUUUCGGGCUGUUAUUUCUGGGCGCGGCUUUGUCCGCGGCCAAUUUUUGGCACACGGAGGCCCCUCGCAAAGUCUCGCGGCAUUCCGAGUCCGGCGGACGAAGUUGGCCAGCCCCACCCCCCAAGGCUAUAGCCCACCUGUUUUUGUUGCUUUUUCGCUGGACGAACUUGGCGCCCCGGCCUUCGGGUGGUUAUUUUUGGGCGCGGCUUUGCCCGCGGCCUAUUUUUAGCACAUGGAGGACCCUCGCAAGGUCUCGCGGCAUUCCGUGUCCGGCGGACAAAGUUGGCCAGCCCCACCCCCGAAGGCUAUAGCCCACCCGUUUUUGUGGCCUUUUACCGCUGGACGAACUUGGCGCACCGGCCUUCGGGUUGUUAUUUUUGGGCGCGGCUUUGCCCGCGGAUUAUUUUUGGCACACGUAGGUCCCUCGCAAUGUCUCGUGGCAUUCCGAGUCCGGCGGACGAAGUUGGCCAGCCCCACCCCCCAAGGCUAUAGCCCACCCGUUUUUGUGGCCUUUUUCCGCUGGACGAACUUGGCGCCCCGUCCUUCUGGCGGUUAUUUUUGGGCUCGUCUUUGUCCGAGGCCUAUUUUUGGCACACGGAGGACCCUCGUAAAGUCUCGCGGCAUUCCGAGUCCGGCGGACGAAGUUGGCCAGCCCCACCCCCCAAGGCUAUAGCCCACCCGUUUUUGUGGCCUUUUUCCGCUGGAACUUGGCGCCCCGGCCUUCGGGCGGUUAUUUUUGGGCGCGGCUUUGCCCGCGGCCUAUUUUUGGAACAUGGAGGCCCCUCGCAAAUUCUCGUGGCAUUCCGAGUCCGGCGGAUUAAGUUGGCCAGCCCCACCCCCCAAAGCUAUAGCCCACCCGUUUUUGUGGCUUUUUUCCGCUGGACGAACUUGGCGCCCCGGCCUUCGGGUGGUUAUUUUUGGGCGCGGCUCCGCCCGCGGCCUAUUUUUGGCACACGGAGGCCCCUCGAAAAGUCUCGCGGCAUUCCGAGUCCGGCGGACGAAGUGGGCCAUCCCCACCCCCCAAGGCUAUAGCCCACCCGUUUUUGUGGCCUUUUUCCGCUGGACGAACUUGGCGACCCGGCCUUCGGGCGGUUAUCUUUGGGCGUGGCUUUGCCCUCGGCGUAUUUUUGGAACACGGUGGCCCCUCGCAAUGUUUCGCGGCAUUCCGAGUCCGGUGGACGAAGUGGGCCAGCCCCAACCCCCAAGGCUAUAGCCCACCCGUUUUUGUCGCCUUUUUCCGCUGGACAAACUUGGCGCCCCGGCCUUCGGGCUUUUAUUUCUGGGCGCGGCUUUGUCCGCGGCCAAUUUUUGGCACACGGAGGCCCCUCGCAAAGUCUCGCGGCAUUCCGAGUCCGGCGGACGAAGUUGGCCAGCCCCACCCCCCAAGGCUAUAGCCCACCUGUUUGUGUUGCCUUUUUCCGCUGGACGAACUUGGCGCCCCGGCCUUCGGGUGGUUAUUUUUGGGCGCGGCUUUGCCCGCGGCCUAUUUUUUGCACACGGAGGCCCCUCGCAAAGUCUCGCGGCAUUCCGAGUCCGGCGGACGAAGUUGGCCAGCCCCAACCCCCAAGGCUAUAGCCCACCCGUUUUUGUGGCCUUUUUCCGCUGGACGAAUUCGGCGCCCCGGGCUUCGGGCAGUUAUUUUUGGGCGCGGCUUUAUCCGCAGCCUAUGUUUGGCACACGGAGGCCACUCGGAAAGUCUCGCGGCAUUCCGUGUCCGGCGGACGAAGUUGGCCAGCCCCACCCCCCAAGGCUAUAGCCCACCCGUUUUUGUGGCCUUUUUCCGCAGGACGAACAAGGCGCCCCGGCCUUCGGGCGGUUAUUUUUGGGCGCGGCUUUGCCCGCGGCCUAUUUUUGGAACAUGGAGGCCCCUCGCAAAUUCUCGUGGCAUUCCGAGUCCGGCGGAUUAAGUUGGCCAGCCCCACCCCCCAAAGCUAUAGCCCACCCAUUUUUGUGGCUUUUUUCCGCUGGACGAACUUGGCGCCUCGGCCUUCGGAUGGUUAUUUUUGGGCGCGGCUCCGCCCGCGGCCCAUUUUGGCACACGGAGGCCCCUCGAAAAUCUCGCGGCAUUCCGAGUCCGGCGGACGNNNNNNNNNNNNNNNNNNNNNNNNNNNNNNNNNNNNNNNNNNNNNNNNNNNNNNNNNNNNNNNNNNNNNNNNNNNNNNNNNNNNNNNNNNNNNNNNNNNNNNNNNCGGCUUUGCCCUCGGCCUAUUUUUGGAACACGGAGGCCCCUCGCAAAGUCUCGCGGCAUUCCGAGUCCGGUGGACGAAGUGGGCCAGCCCCAACCCCCAAGGCUAUAGCCCACCCGUUUUUGUGGCCUUUUUCCGCUGGACAAACUUGGCGCCCCGGCCUUCGGGCUGUUAUUUCUGGGCGCGGCUUUGUCCGCGGCCAAUUUUUGGCACACGGAGGCCCCUCGCAAAGUCUCGCGGCAUUCCGAGUCCGGCGGACGAAGUUGGCCAGCCCCACCCCCCAAGGCUAUAGCCCACCUGUUUUUGUUGCCUUUUUCGCUGGACGAACUUGGCGCCCCGGCCUUCGGGUGGUUAUUUUUGGGCGCGGCUUUGCCCGCGGCCUAUUUUUUGCACACGGAGGCCCCUCGCAAAGUCUCGCGGCAUUCCGAGUCCGGCGGACGAAGUUGGCCAGCCCCAACCCCCAAGGCUAUAGCCCACCCGUUUUUGUGGCCUUUUUCCGCUGGACGAAUUCGGCGCCCCGGGCUUCGGGCAGUUAUUUUUGGGCGCGGCUUUAUCCGCAGCCUAUGUUUGGCACACGGAGGCCCCUCGGAAAGUCUCGCGGCAUUCCGUGUCCGGCGGACGAAGUUGGCCAGCCCCACCCCCCAAGGCUAUAGCCCACCCGUUUUUGUGGCCUUUUUCCGCUGGACGAACAUGGCGCCCCGGCCUUUGGCCGGUUAUUUCUUGGCACGGCUUUGUCCGCGGCCUAUUUUUGGCACACAGGGGCCCCUCGUAAAGUCUCGCAGUAUUCCGAGUCCGGUGGACGAAGUGGGCCAGCCCCACCUCCCAAGGCUAUAGCCCACCCGUUUUUGUGGCCUUUUUCCGCUGGACAAACUUGGCGCCCCGGCCUUCGGGCGGUUAUUUCUGGGCGCGGCUUUGCCCGUGGCCUAUUUUUUGCACACGGGAGCCCCUCGCAAAGUCUCACGGCAUUCUGAGUCCGGCGGACGAAGUUGGCCAGCCCCACCCCCCAAGGCUAUAGCCCACCCGUUUUUGUGGCCUUUUUCCGCUGGACGAACUUGGCGCCCCGGCCUUUGGGUGAUUAUUUUUGGGCGCGGCUUUGCCCGCGGCCUAUUUUUGGCACACGGAGACCCCUCGCAAAGUCUCACGGCAUUCCGAGUCCGGCGGACGAAGUUGGCCAGCCCCACCCCCCAAGGCUAUAGCCCACCCGUUUUUGUGGCCUUUUUCGCUGGACGAACAUGGCGCCCCGGCCUUUGGCCGGUUAUUUCUUGGCACGGCUUUGUCCGCGGCCUAUUUUUGGCACACAGGGGCCCCUCGUAAAGUCUCGCGGUAUUCCGAGUCCGGUGGACGAAGUGGGCCAGCCCCACCUCCCAAGGCUAUAGCCCACCCGUUUUUGUGGCCUUUUUCCGCUGGACAAACUUGGCGCCCCGGCCUUCGGGCGGUUAUUUCUGGGCGCGGCUUUGCCCGUGGCCUAUUUUUUGCACACGGAGGCCCCUCGCAAAGUCUCACGGCAUUCCGAGUCCGGCGGACGAAGUUGGCCAGCCCCACCCCCCAAGGCUAUAGCCCACCCGUUUUUGUUGCCUUUUUCCGCUGGACGAACUUGGCGCCCCGGCCUUUGGGUGAUUAUUUUUGGGCGCGGCUUUGCCCGCGGCCUAUUUUUGGCACACGGAGACCCCUCGCAAAGUCUCGCGGCAUUCCGAGUCCGGUAGACGAAGUUGGCCAGCCCCAACCCCCAAGGCUAUAGCCCGCCCGUUUUUGUGGCCUUUUUCCGCUGCACGAAUUCGGCGCCCCGGGCUUCGGGCACAUAUUUUUGGGCGCGGCUUUGUCCACGGCCUAUUUUUGGCACACGGAGGCCCCUCGCAAAGCCUCACGGCAUUCCGAGUCCGGCGGACGAAGUUGGCCAGCCCCACCCCCCAAGGCUAUAGCCCACCCGUUUUUGUGGCCUUUUUCCGCUGGAUGAACUUGGCGCCCCGGCCCUCGGGCGGUUAUUUCUAGGCGCGGCUUUGCCUGCGGCCUAUUUUUGGCACACGGAGGGCCCUCGCAAAGUCUCGCGGCAUUCCGAGUCCGGCGGACGAAGUUGGCCAGCCCCACCCCCCAAGGCUAUAGCCCACCCGUUUUUGUGGCCUUUUUCCGCUGGACGAACUUGGCGCCCCAGUCUUCGGGCGGUUAUUUUUGGGCGCGGCAUUGUCCGCGGCCUAUAUUUGGCACACGGAGGCCCAUCGCAAAUUCUCGCGGCAUUCCGAGUCCAGCGGACGAAGUGGGCCAGCCCCACCCCCCAAGGCGAUAGCCCACCCGUUUUUGUGGACUUUUUCCGCUGGACGAACUUGGCGCCCCGGCCUUCGGACGGUUAUUUCUUGGCGGACGAAGUUGGCCAGCCCCACCCACCAAGGCCCACCCGUUUUUGUGGCCUUUUUCCGCUGAACGAACGUGGCGCCCCGGCCUUCGGGCGGUUAUUUUUGGAUGCGGCUUUGCCCGCGGCCUCUUUUUGGCACACGGAGGCCCCUCGCAAAGUCUCGCGGCAUUCCGAGUCCGGCGGACGAAGUUGGCCAGCCCCACCCCCCAAGGCUAUAGCCCACCAGUUUUUGUGGCCUUUUUCUGCUGGACGAACUUGGCGCCCCGUCCUUCGGCCGGUUAUUUCUUGGCGCGGCUUUGCCCGCGGCAUAUUUUUGGCACACGGAGGCCCCUCACAAAGUCUCGCAGCAUUCCGAGUCCGGCGGAUGAAGUUGGCCAGCCCCACCCCCCAAGGCCCACCCGUUUUUGUGGCCUUUUACCGCUGUACGAACUUGGCGCCCCGGCCUUCGGGCGGUUAUUUUUGGGCGCGGCUUUGCCCGUGGCCUAUUUUUGGCACACGGAGGCCCCUCGCAAAGUCUCAAGGCAUUCCG
rnacentral:lncRNA from 1 species